GUGAACGGUACAACAGAAACAACGUACAGGAAAGAAAUUAGGAAAUCUCUUUCACAAAUAUCAAUCACAAAUAAAUCAGACGUUUAAGACGCAUUUUAAAGAACAUCUUGUAAAAUGUUCACUCAUCACGAAAUAUAUUACACGAUUUUAUUUAUUGUCGUGGGUAGUAUAUUCGCUGCUAAUUGUCCAAAUAAUGAGACAUGCAAAUGCACAUCAAAUGAACUGGUCGAAAUAAAUUGUAAAAUGAACGAUUCUUCUAUUAAAAUUCAAAUUAGACCAGGCCAAUUUAUGAGGGUUUACUGCUCUAACUUCAAGUGGUCAGACCUACAUACGUACAAUUUUACAAAAUACGAAACAAAUCAAGUGUAUUUUUUUACGU